GAUGAACGCUGGCGGCGUGCCUAAUACAUGCAAGUCGAGCGAACAGACGAGGAGCUUGCUCCUCUGACGUUAGCGGCGGACGGGUGAGUAACACGUGGAUAACCUACCUUUAAGACUGGGAUACUUCCGGGAAACCGGGUCUAUUACCGGAAAAUUUAUUUACCCUCUGGGUUCAAUGGUUAAAGACGGUUUUUUUUUCACUAAUAGAUGAAUCCGCGCCGCAUUAGCUAGUUGGUAAGGUAACGGCUUACCAAGGCAACGAUGCGUAGCCGACCUGAGAGGGUGAUCGGCCACACUGGAACUGAGACACGGUCCAGACUCCUACGGGAGGCAGCAGUAGGGAAUCUUCCGCAAUGGGCGAAAGCUUGACGGAGCAACGCCGCGUGAGUGAUGAAGGUCUUCGGAUCGUAAAACUCUGUUAUUAGGGAAGAACAAAUGUGUAAGUAACUAUGCACGUCUUGACGGUACCUAAUCAGAAAGCCACGGCUAACUACGUG
rnacentral:rRNA from 1 species